rnacentral:lncRNA from 1 species
UGAGAGAGAUGGCACUUUAUAAGGGGUCAGAGAAGGGCCUCUCUGAUGAGCGACAUUGGGGCAGAGACUCGGGACCUGAGGCACGUGAAUAACGGGGCUCCCAGCUAUUAAGGAGCCAGCUCGCGGUCACACAAGGAUGACCUCCUUGCCCACCCAGGCUCUACCUUGACCAAUCCAGAAGUCAUGAGGCCUCUGCGCGACUCCCUGCUCUUCUCCCAGGCUGGAGACUGGGGCACUGGCUCGGACCACGGGCCACUGUUUCUUAGAGUCUCCAACAAGAACCGAGCUCUUCAGGGGACCUGGAUGACAAGGAAGAUGAGUGAGGAGGUGCGCGAGGGGAAGAGGAGACUGAACAGAGAAAGAAAUUUGAGAGGAGAGCUCUGGAGAGACAGAGUAGAUAAUAAGAGCAGCUCCCAGGCACCCCUAUGUAUUUACCAAGCUUUACAGAGCACCAGCCAUGACUGGUCCAGUCCAUCCUCACAGCUGCUCCGUGGCACAGGUACAUUAUUCCUUGCUUUCAUAAAUGGGGAAACUGAGGCACAGGAAGGUGCCCAAGGUCAAGCACUGGAAGGCGGCUUGACUAGGGGCUCACUCCCACCUCCCCACCUGCCCUGUGUCUCUGGGGUGUAGGGAGUGAGUCCUGCAGCCAGGUGUGGGGGCAGGGGGUGGGGUCCACCCCAGUGAGGCUGGCCGGGCCCCGGUCACAGGGUUGAUGGGGUUUAUCAGCUCAUAGACAGUACCCAACUGCAUCGUGGGCUGAAUCAGGCCCUGGGCUCUGAGUCAAAGCAAACCCUUCCAGUGAUUGCCAAUGAGAUGGCAACGGAGCCCAUAUGAUCCUGAGGGCCUGGCAUGCCCUCUAUCGCCCAGGGAAGCCAGCCACAGCCUGCAGGGCCACCUCCGGACGAGACACCGCUGGAGAUGUGUGGCAUUCUCAGGGCCUCUUUGUAGAGAAAAACAGGAAACUAUGAUUAUAAAAUUAGGCAUAAAAGUGAAUAUUAAGAGUAAAUAGGGCCGGGCAUGGUGGCUCACACCUGUAAUCCCAGCACUUUGGGAGGCCAAGGCGGGCAGAUCACCUGAGGUCGGGAGUAUGAGACCAGCCUGGACAACAUGGUAAAACCCUCUCUCUACUAAAAAUACAAAAAUUAGCUGGGCAUGGUGGUGCGUGCCUGUAAUCCCAGCUACUCAGGAGGCAGGAGAAUCGCUUGAACCCAGGGGGCAGAGGUUGCAGUGAGCCAAGAUCGUACCACUGCACUCUAGCCUGGGCGACAGAGUGAGACUCCAUCUCAAAAAAAAAAGUAAAUAGGUCACACACAGUGGCUCACAACUGUAAUCCCAGCACUUCGGGAAUCUGAGGUGGGAGGAUCACUUGAGCCCAGGAGUCCAAGACCAGCCUGGGCAACAGAGCGAGACCCCAUCUCUAUUUUUAAAAAGUAAAUAAAUCGGGCGGGCGCGGUGGCUCA